GGCGUCAUAGAGGGGGAGAACCCCGUAUGCGACCGUGGCCGAGCCCAUGGAAGCCCUCUUCGACGAGUCGAGUUGUUUGGGAAUGCAGCUCAAAUGGGUGGUAAAUUUCAUCUAAAGCUAAAUACCGGCGGAGACCGAUAGCGCACAAGUAGAGUGAUCGAAAGAUGAAAAGCACUUUGAAAAGAGAGUCAAACAGUACGUGAAAUUGUUGAAAGGGAAGCGCUGGCAACCAGACCUGCCCGCGGGCGAUCAGCCGCUGUUUUCAGCGGUGUACUCGCUCCGCGAUCAGGCCAGCAUCGGUUUCGGCGGUCGGACAAAGGCUUGGGAAUGUAGCUCUCCUCGGGAGAGUCUUAUAGCCCGAGGUGCAAUGCGUCCAGCCGGGACCGAGGAUCGCGCUCCGGCAAGGGUGCUGGCGUAAUGGUUGUCAGCGACCCGUCUUGAAACACGGACCAAGGAGUCUAACAUCUAUGCGAGUGUUUGGGCGUCAAACCCAUACGCGGAAUGAAAGUGAACGGAGGUGAGAACCCUGGAGGGCGCAUCAUCGACCGAUCCAGAUGUCUUCGGAUGGAUUUGAGUAUGAGCAUCCGUUGGGACCCGAAAGAUGGUGUACUAUGCGUGUAUA
rnacentral:rRNA from 1 species